AAAAAAAGAACUACUACUACUAGAGGAAAGAAGGCUGGAGAGAAUUGGGAGAGGUAUAAAAUCUAACCCAUCAUCCAAAUGGGCUAGCACUUUAUUUUUAUGACUGGACUAGCAAAACCAAAUCCUUCAUAUUGCCUCUCACAACUCUCAGGACCAAGAACAAACAUUUACUAGAUAAGAAGAAAGAACACUGUUCAUGAGACAUCCCAUUUUUCUACCCAAUAUUCUUCUAAGAUGGUAAACAAAGGCAAAUAUACAAAAGCAAAAAGUUCAAGAGAAGCAGGAAAAGACCUAAGAACAAUGAACUCUUCAAAUAUUUUAUAAGGUAGCAUGUUUAUUAUAUGCCUAAGUUGUUUAGUUAUUUCUCAUUUUCAACCCUAUACCAAAAAAGCUUUCCAAAUCACUUUAAUUCCAUAUAAUAUAGGCCAUAACAAUCAGCACUCCAAAUCCAGAGUGAGCAUAUUCCUUGCUGUAUUUACCAAUAAUUUAUAGAAAACCAGUGACCAAUAAUUUAUAGAAAGCAAAUCAAAAAUACACAUAACCUGCUAUAAGUUUGGCUAUGGCAUUUAGGAUUACAAAGAACUUCUUAAAUCCCACUUCAGUCCCAAGAACAAUAUUAAGGUCUAGGUUUUCUGGGAUGUUCUAAACACCUAAGUCUAGGUAAGGCUAACUGCUAUCUAGUGUCACCAUGAACAGAUAAUAAUCUAAGUCCAGGGUAAAGAUAACUCCAGUUCAUCAAAAAGAGGCACCAU